CGGGCUUGAAAUGCAUCUGACCGAUUGGGAAACCGAUCUUCUAGCAAUAGCAGAUGCGUAGGUGCUGCAUGGUUGUCGUCAGCUCGUGCCGUGAGGUGUCGGCUUAAGUGCCAUAACGAGCGCAACCCACAUUGUUAGUUACUAACAGGUCAAGCUGAGGACUCUGACAAGACUGCCAGCGUAAGCUGCGAGGAAGGUGUGGAUGACGUCAAAUCAGCACGGCCCUUACGUCCGGGGCGACACACGUGUUACAAUGGGGGGUACAGAGGGUUGCUACUUGGUGACAAGAUGCUAAUCUCGAAAGCCUCUCCCAGUUCGGAUUGGAGUCUGCAACUCGACUCCAUGAAGCUGGAUUCGCUAGUAAUCGCGCAUCAGCCAUGGCGCGGUGAAUACGUUCCCGGGCC
rnacentral:rRNA from 1 species